UCUACGGGCGGCAGCAGUGAGGAAUAUUGGUCAAUGGGCGGGAGCCUGAACCAGCCAAGCCGCGUGAAGGAAGAAGGCGCCAAGCGUCGUAAACUUCUUUUGUCGGGGAACAAAGGGCGCCACGUGUGGCGUUGUGAGUGUACCCGAAGAAAAAGCAUCGGCUAACUCCGUGCCAGCAGCCGCGGUAAUACGGAGGAUGCGAGCGUUAUCCGGAUUUAUUGGGUUUAAAGGGUGCGUAGGCGGUCCGGAAAGUCAGCGGUAAAAGCCCGGGGCGCAACCCCGGCGAGCCGUUGAAACUGUGGGACUAGAGACGGCGAGAGGUACGCGGAAUGCGCGGUGUAGCGGUGAAAUGCAUAGAUAUUAGGAGGAACACCAGUGGCGAAGGCGGUCUGCUGGACAGCAACUGACGGUGAGGCGCGAAAGCGUGGGGAGCAAACAGGAUUAGAUACCCCAGUAGUC
rnacentral:rRNA from 1 species